rnacentral:rRNA from 1 species
UGGGGAAUAUUGGACAAUGGGCGGAAGCCUGAUCCAGCCAUGCCGCGUGUGUGAAGAAGGCCUUUUGGUUGUAAAGCACUUUAAGCGAGGAGGAGGCUACUUGGAUUAAUACUCUAGGAUAGUGGACGUUACUCGCAGAAUAAGCACCGGCUAACUCUGUUCCAGCAGCCGCGGUAAUACAGAGGGUGCGAGCGUUAAUCGGAUUUACUGGGCGUAAAGCGUGCGUAGGCGGCUUCUUAAGUCGGAUGUGAAAUCCCUGAGCUUAACUUAGGAAUUGCAUUCGAUACUGGGAAGCUAGAGUAUGGGAGAGGAUGGUAGAAUUCCAGGUGUAGCGGUGAAAUGCGUAGAGAUCUGGAGGAAUACCGAUGGCGAAGGCAGCCAUCUGGCCUAAUACUGACGCUGAGGUACGAAAGCAUGGGGAGCAAACAGG